rnacentral:lncRNA from 1 species
GUAUAAUAUAAGUGAUUAUUCAGCAAUUGAACUACAAUUGGCUGAUUGUGUUGAUAACACGUGCUCACACCCUUUUUCUUGUUUCUGGCCACGUAUCAAAACCUCUGUACACCUCUCUUUUAUUUUCUUUUCAGACCCUAUUCCUCAUUCUCUUCAUCUCCUUAAUCCGCAAAUAUAAUCCCUCAUUCCUUUUCUUUUCUUGAAUCACCGUCCUCCUCCACUGUUCGGAAUCCGGCACCGCCGAACCUCCUCGCUUGUCUCCGCGGCUAUCAAAUCGCCACUGUACUGCCACCGCUCCGCUGCCUGACGAAGCAAGUAUCACCGUGGUUCUGCUCGCUUUCCGGUCACCUCAAAUCUAUUCCUCAAAGCCAGGCACUGUUCCUUGUUUCUUCGGUCCAUUGAUUUUCUGUUUCCGGUCAGCAAUUCACUCUAUUCAGUAAUCAUUCUGAUUGAGUACAUCUCCUCCCACUCAUCUCUCAGUUAUAUAUAUGUAUGUAUAUGUGUGAAUUGUUGGGAUUGUGCCGAGAUUGAAUCAGUGGGCUUAUUUCAAAUUAGUUAAUAUAUACACAAGCAAUCACAGGGAUAUGGGUUAUUGCUAAUUGUUAUAUGUUAGCUAAAGCCAAGGUUUAGGAAUGUUGAUAUGAUUGCAAAUCGGUUGAAUAUUACUGUUCAAUCAGCCUGUGAGGCUAUGGAGAUGAGUGUUUAAUUGGUUUGAAUAUCAAUAUAUAAGUAAAAUCACGUUAAUUCUAUUCAAAAGGAUUGUGAGUAAUUAGUUAAGUAAUUUAUGAAUUCUAGAUUAUGUGGGAUUGUUUGUCCUUAAGUGCAUACUUGUUUAUGUUUAUAUGUGAAUAGCUAUUAAGUUGAAUUGGUUUUGUUUAGUCUUUAAUUGAGUAACAACAUGUGGGUAUUUAAAAACUAGCCUUCUCUAAAAGAAACUGAAAUACUGGUAUAUGUGUAGAUAUGUUGAAAAGAUGGUAUUUUAAAUAUUUAGAUUAAAUCAUAUGGUGUCCCUGUGUAAUAUUGGCAUAUGUUAUGAUUUGAAAAUCUAAAAUAUUUAAAGCUUAGUUUAUAAACAGUUAAGUACUUUGAAAAAGAUUAGUUUAUUCUGAUUUUGUACAACUAAAUUGGGAACUAAAUUAAAAAGAGUUACUAAACUAAAUUGGGAACUAAACUAAAAAGGUAAAUGGGAGCAUACAAUGAAUUUGAUUUAAACUUGGUUUUGUUAUAAGUUCAGCUUGUGAGAUUAAGCAGCCAAGCUUUAAGGUAAAAAAAUCAGAGAUAUUGGCACUUUUGUCUAAAGUAUUUUUAUUAUUGAGAUUAUACGAGGAUUAAGAAGGUUGAGGUUUGAUUAUAUACUUAUAUAUGCCUCGAUUUUCGGGUAUAUGUGAUUAUAUAAUUAAAACCUUUAUUUUCUUAUAGUAUGCAGUUGAUGAUUUUGGGAUUUGGACUAUCGAUAUUGACUAUACGAGGAUUAAGGAAUUUAAGUUCUUAGUUAUGUAUAUAAAUAUACUUCGACUUUCUUGAGGUAUAUCUGUAUAUAUGAUUAAAAAGUUUGUUCCUUAUAGUAUAAAGUGAUAUAUGGAUUACUAAAGUUAUAAUUAUGUUCGGAGUAUUGUUAGUCGACGGUUGUUGAGUUGUUGGGUUGUAAACUUGUUGGAAUGAUUAUUGGCACUAGACUAAAAAACAGGUGGAUAGUCCGAUAAAUAGAGGAAAUGCUGCCGAAUUUUCGUUAGAAAUUAUAUAUAUUCUACUUGUUAAAGAAUAUUAAAUAUUUAAGAAUAACGCGACAUUGUUAACUGAAACAUGUUAUAUGUUAGCUUAUCGAUAUUGACUUUUAAUAGUUAUAAAAGUUAAUUGUUCAACUAUGUGCUAUGUGUUUAUCUGACUAUGUAGUAUGUAUAUGGAUUUACGGAGGGUAGCUAAUUGCGGAUUUUAAACGUUAUUCGAUAUUAGUGUACUCCGUCGGCAUCGACAACUGAAGUACUGUGUUACUCUUGGAGAAUAAACAAAGACUUGUAUAUCAAGGACAUUCAGAACUAGUUGAAUAGCUUUGCGAAUUGAAUCAGCAAUAGUUCCUUAAGACGAAGCUGUGCUGUGGGAUAGUCUGGUAGAAUUUAGUUGGUGUGAAAAUCAGCAGAACUGAGGCAAGUAUUCCUAUCUUCACUUAUUGUUCAAGUGAUAUUUUCUUUAAACCCUUAUGCAAGUAAUUCUAUUCUCAACUUGUAAUUACUGCAAGUCUUCCUAUUCAAACUCAAUAUUUAGAAGCAAGUGCUCCUUUCUUAAAACUUUUACUUAUUGCAAAUGCAUGACUUNCUAUUCAAAAGGAUUGUGAGUAAUUAGUUAAGUAAUUUAUGAAUUCUAGAUUAUGUGGGAUUGUUUGUCCUUAAGUGCAUACUUGUUUAUGUUUAUAUGUGAAUAGCUAUUAAGUUGAAUUGGUUUUGUUUAGUCUUUAAUUGAGUAACAACAUGUGGGUAUUUAAAAACUAGCCUUCUCUAAAAGAAACUGAAAUACUGGUAUAUGUGUAGAUAUGUUGAAAAGAUGGUAUUUUAAAUAUUUAGAUUAAAUCAUAUGGUGUCCCUGUGUAAUAUUGGCAUAUGUUAUGAUUUGAAAAUCUAAAAUAUUUAAAGCUUAGUUUAUAAACAGUUAAGUACUUUGAAAAAGAUUAGUUUAUUCUGAUUUUGUACAACUAAAUUGGGAACUAAAUUAAAAAGAGUUACUAAACUAAAUUGGGAACUAAACUAAAAAGGUAAAUGGGAGCAUACAAUGAAUUUGAUUUAAACUUGGUUUUGUUAUAAGUUCAGCUUGUGAGAUUAAGCAGCCAAGCUUUAAGGUAAAAAAAUCAGAGAUAUUGGCACUUUUGUCUAAAGUAUUUUUAUUAUUGAGAUUAUACGAGGAUUAAGAAGGUUGAGGUUUGAUUAUAUACUUAUAUAUGCCUCGAUUUUCGGGUAUAUGUGAUUAUAUAAUUAAAACCUUUAUUUUCUUAUAGUAUGCAGUUGAUGAUUUUGGGAUUUGGACUAUCGAUAUUGACUAUACGAGGAUUAAGGAAUUUAAGUUCUUAGUUAUGUAUAUAAAUAUACUUCGACUUUCUUGAGGUAUAUCUGUAUAUAUGAUUAAAAAGUUUGUUCCUUAUAGUAUAAAGUGAUAUAUGGAUUACUAAAGUUAUAAUUAUGUUCGGAGUAUUGUUAGUCGACGGUUGUUGAGUUGUUGGGUUGUAAACUUGUUGGAAUGAUUAUUGGCACUAGACUAAAAAACAGGUGGAUAGUCCGAUAAAUAGAGGAAAUGCUGCCGAAUUUUCGUUAGAAAUUAUAUAUAUUCUACUUGUUAAAGAAUAUUAAAUAUUUAAGAAUAACGCGACAUUGUUAACUGAAACAUGUUAUAUGUUAGCUUAUCGAUAUUGACUUUUAAUAGUUAUAAAAGUUAAUUGUUCAACUAUGUGCUAUGUGUUUAUCUGACUAUGUAGUAUGUAUAUGGAUUUACGGAGGGUAGCUAAUUGCGGAUUUUAAACGUUAUUCGAUAUUAGUGUACUCCGUCGGCAUCGACAACUGAAGUACUGUGUUACUCUUGGAGAAUAAACAAAGACUUGUAUAUCAAGGACAUUCAGAACUAGUUGAAUAGCUUUGCGAAUUGAAUCAGCAAUAGUUCCUUAAGACGAAGCUGUGCUGUGGGAUAGUCUGGUAGAAUUUAGUUGGUGUGAAAAUCAGCAGAACUGAGGCAAGUAUUCCUAUCUUCACUUAUUGUUCAAGUGAUAUUUUCUUUAAACCCUUAUGCAAGUAAUUCUAUUCUCAACUUGUAAUUACUGCAAGUCUUCCUAUUCAAACUCAAUAUUUAGAAGCAAGUGCUCCUUUCUUAAAACUUUUACUUAUUGCAAAUGCAUGACUUNGUAUACUUCCUAUGGAAUAAACCCUUUCUUAAAAAUGUAAUUCUUUAGAACUGGGAAGUAAAAACUCAGAUAUAAUUGGAGUUGCGUAAGAGGACCGUUAUUUGAUAACGGCCCAGCCUAUUUGUUUGCGUAAGAGGACCAUUGUAAGGCAAUGGCCCAGCGUUAUUUGAAGACGUAGCUAGUCUUCAGUUCCGGAACAUGUUAUUUCAGGGCAAUGCGUA